CAGCCGUAUGUUUCGCUCACAUGUGGGCCUGAUUAGAAAAAGGAGAGAGGUGCUCGCUGGCCCACACCUUAACCCUCCCGACGCACGUAACCUCUCCUUCCCCUUUCAUUCCCCUGCUCGAUUCCCCGUUCCUCUCUGCCGCCGCCUCUCGUUCCUCUCUUGAGCCCUCGCCAUCAAACCGCGAAGCCAUGGCCUCCCUGUGCCACGCGCCCUCCCACUGUCGAUGGUCUAGGCCCCAUCCAAGAGAGAGUGGGAGGACCAUCCCGUCGGUCAGAGAAGGCGGGGAGGAGUGGAUGCCAGCAAACUUUUCUCUCUCUGCCCGCGGUGUACCCCCCCCCCCCCCCCCCC
rnacentral:lncRNA from 1 species